UACAGAGGGGGCAAGCGUUAUUCGGAAUUAUUGGGCGUAAAGGGCGCGUAGGCGGCCAGGCAAGUGGAAGGUGAAAUCCCUCGGCUUAACCGAGGAACUGCCCUCCAAACUGCUUGGCUUGAGACCGGGAGAGGUGAGUGGAAUUCCCAGUGUAGCGGUGAAAUGCGUAGAUAUUGGGAGGAACACCAGUGGCGAAGGCGGCUCACUGGACCGGUACGUGACGCUGAUGCGCGAAAGCGUGGGGAGCAACGGGG
rnacentral:rRNA from 1 species